CAUUGAUGACAAAUAUGUUAAACUCUGAUUAACUCCUAUUAGUAGUGACUGGGGUUAUCUUAGCUUCAGUCUUCCGCAUCUAUUCUACUUCAUCUCUGAUCUCUCCUC